UCCUACGGGAGGCAGCAGUAGGGAAUAUUGCUCAAUGGGGGAAACCCUGAAGCAGCGAUGCCGCGUGAGUGAAGAAGUAUCUCGGUACGUAAAGCUCUAUCAGCAGGGAAGAAAAUGACGGUACCUGACUAAGAAGCCCCGGCUAACUACGUGCCAGCAGCCGCGGUAAUACGUAGGGGGCGAGCGUUAUCCGGAUUUACUGGGUGUAAAGGGGGCGCAGACGGCCAUGGCAAGCCCGGUGUGAAAGGUGCGGGCACAACCCGCAGACUGCACUGGUAACUGCCUGGCUGGAGUGCCGGAGGGGG
rnacentral:rRNA from 1 species